rnacentral:rRNA from 1 species
AACGAACGCUGGCGGCAUGCCUAACACAUGCAAGUCGAACGAGACCUUCGGGUCUAGUGGCGCACGGGUGCGUAACGCGUGGGAACCUGCCCUUAGGUUCGGAAUAACUCCCCGAAAGGGGUGCUAAUACCGGAUAAUGUCUUCGGACCAAAGAUUUAUCGCCUUUGGAUGGGCCCGCGUUGGAUUAGCUAGUUGGUAGGGUAAAAGCCUACCAAGGCGACGAUCCAUAGCUGGUCUGAGAGGAUGAUCAGCCACACUGGGACUGAGACACGGCUCAGACUCCUACGGGAGGCAGCAGUGGGGAAUAUUGGACAAUGGGCGAAGGCCUGAUCCAGCAAUGCCGCGUGAGUGAUGAAGGCCUUAGGGUUGUAAAGCUCUUUUACCCGGGAUGAUAAUGACAGUACCGGGAGAAUAAGCGCCGGCUAACUCCGUG